rnacentral:rRNA from 1 species
AGGAUUAACGCUGGCGGCGUGCAUGAAACAUGCAAGUCGAGCGCGGUACGUGGCUUCGGUCACGUAUCUAGCGGCGCACGGGUGAGUAACACGUGAGCAACCUACCUUCGAGUUCGGGAUAGCCCUGGGAAACCAGGAUUAAUACCGGAUGUGGUCACAACGGGACAUCCCGAUGUGAAAAAAGGCGCAAGCCGCUCGAUGACGGGCUCGCGGCCUAUUAGCUUGUUGGUGGGGUAACGGCCUACCAAGGCGACGAUGGGUAGCUGGUCUGAGAGGACGAUCAGCCACACUGGGACUGAGACACGGCCCAGACUCCUACGGGAGGCAGCAGUUAGGAAUUUUCCGCAAUGGGCGAAAGCCUGACGGAGCAACGCCGCGUGUGUGAUGAAGGCCUUCGGGUUGUAAAGCACUGUCGGAGGGAAGAAUGAAUGACGGUACCCUCCAAGAAAGCCCCGGCUAACUACGUGCCAGCAGCCGC